AUCCUCUUUUGUAACCCAGAACUCAUUGUACAGUAUGAGUUUUGAUACAUAUAAGAAGGAAU
rnacentral:snoRNA from 1 species